rnacentral:rRNA from 1 species
CUCAGGACGAACGCUGGCGGCGUGCCUAAUACAUGCAAGUCGAGCGGACAGAUGGGAGCUUGCUCCCUGAUGUUAGCGGCGGACGGGUGAGUAACACGUGGGUAACCUGCCUGUAAGACUGGGAUAACUCCGGGAAACCGGGGCUAAUACCGGAUGGUUGUCUGAACCGCAUGGUUCAGACAUAAAAGGUGGCUUCGGCUACCACUUACAGAUGGACCCGCGGCGCAUUAGCUAGUUGGUGAGGUAACGGCUCACCAAGGCGACGAUGCGUAGCCGACCUGAGAGGGUGAUCGGCCACACUGGGACUGAGACACGGCCCAGACUCCUACGGGAGGCAGCAGUAGGGAAUCUUCCGCAAUGGACGAAAGUCUGACGGAGCAACGCCGCGUGAGUGAUGAAGGUUUUCGGAUCGUAAAGCUCUGUUGUUAGGGAAGAACAAGUGCCGUUCAAAUAGGGCGGCACCUUGACGGUACCUAACCAGAAAGCCACGGCUAACUACGUGCCAGCAGCCGCGGUAAUACGUAGGUGGCAAGCGUUGUCCGGAAUUAUUGGGCGUAAAGGGCUCGCAGGCGGUUUCUUAAGUCUGAUGUGAAAGCCCCCGGCUCAACCGGGGAGGGUCAUUGGAAACUGGGGAACUUGAGUGCAGAAGAGGAGAGUGGAAUUCCACGUGUAGCGGUGAAAUGCGUAGAGAUGUGGAGGAACACCAGUGGCGAAGGCGACUCUCUGGUCUGUAACUGAC